AUUGAACGCUGGCGGCAGGCUUAACACAUGCAAGUCGGACGGUAACAGGGAGGAAGCUUGCUUUCUUUGCUGACGAGUGGCGGACGGGUGAGUAAUGCUUGGGAAUCUGUUUUAUGGAGGGGGAUAACUACGGGAAACUGUAGCUAAUACCGCGUAAUAUCGAGAGAUUAAAGUGUGGGACCGUAAGGCCACAUGCCAUAGAGUGAGCCCAAGUGGGAUUAGGUAGUUGGUGGGGUAAAGGCCUACCAAGCCGUCGAUCUCUAGCUGGUCUGAGAGGAUGACCAGCCACACUGGGACUGAGACACGGCCCAGACUCCUACGGGAGGCAGCAGUGGGGAAUAUUGCACAAUGGGCGCAAGCCUGAUGCAGCCAUGCCGCGUGAAUGAAGAAGGCCUUCGGGUUGUAAAGUUCUUUCGGUGGUGAGGAAGGUUGUAAUGUUAAUAGCAUUAUAAUUUGACGUUAGCCACAGAAGAAGCACCGGCUAACUCCGUGCCAGCAGCCGCGGUAAUACGGAGGGUGCGAGCGUUAAUCGGAGUAACUGGGCGUAAAGGGCACGCAGGCGGAUACUUAAGUGAGGUGUGAAAGCCCUGGGCUUAACCUAGGAAUUGCAUUUCAUACUGGGUAUCUAGAGUAUUUUAGGGAGGGGUAGAAUUCCACGUGUAGCGGUGAAAUGCGUAGAGAUGUGGAGGAAUACCGAAGGCGAAGGCAGCCCCUUGGGGGAAUACUGACGCUCAUGUGCGAAAGCGUGGGGAGCAAACAGG
rnacentral:rRNA from 1 species